rnacentral:rRNA from 1 species
AUUGAACGCUGGCGGCAGGCCUAACACAUGCAAGUCGAGCGGAUGAAGGGAGCUUGCUCCUGGAUUCAGCGGCGGACGGGUGAGUAAUGCCUAGGAAUCUGCCUGGUAGUGGGGGAUAACGUCCGGAAACGGGCGCUAAUACCGCAUACGUCCUGAGGGAGAAAGUGGGGGAUCUUCGGACCUCACGCUAUCAGAUGAGCCUAGGUCGGAUUAGCUAGUUGGUGGGGUAAAGGCCUACCAAGGCGACGAUCCGUAACUGGUCUGAGAGGAUGAUCAGUCACACUGGAACUGAGACACGGUCCAGACUCCGACGGGAGGCAGCAGUGGGGAAUAUUGGGCAAUGGGCGAAAGCCUGAUCCAGCCAUGCAGCGUGUGUGAAGAAGGUCUUCGGAUUGUAAAGCACUUUAAGUUGGGAGGAAGGGCAGUAAGUUAAUACCUUGCUGUUUUGACGUUAACAACAGAAUAAGCACCGGCUAACUUCGUG